CUCUCCGAUGGGACCUCCCACAUCAUCACUGACGCCUACGCAGGGAAAGAGUACAUCAUCCAGGUGGCCGCCAAGGACAACGAGAUCGGCACCUGGAGCGACUGGAGCGUGGCCGUCCAUGCCACACCCUGGACUGAGGAGCCGAAGCAUCUCACCACCGAAGCCCAGGGAGCAGAGACCACCAGCAGCAGCACCUCCACAUUCGAGGUACCCCCCACCACCAGGAUCUACGACUCAGAGGAACAAAGCAGAGAUGAAGCCGUGUCACCUUCUGUGGUCCCAGGUCUGGUCUUGGUGGCAUUUGCCCUUCUCUUAAUCUAGACGAGUCCUCGGAGAGCCAGGCAUCCCCGGAUCCCCCCCUCCGCUCUUGCCCACCCACCACAACCUGCCCCGGACGGAGCCAAGGACCUCUUCGCACCAGGCGAUGGCCAGCCGGUGGGGACACGAGGAAGCCGCCCUCCGCAGCGCGCCAGGGAGGAGCCCCCCCACCCACCGAGCCUUGGGCUCGGAUCAUACAGCUAAGCCACCAAGCCAAAGAUGCUUCCUUCGGCCGCCAAGCAGGACCCUCCAGCGUGUGGACAGGGCAGCUCUGACCGGGGGCCACACGGGGGCCACACGGAGCUGGGAGGUCUCCCCUCUUCUGAACUGUGAGCGGAUGAGCCUCGGCCGAGCAAAACAAGGAAGUUGUGGGUAGCCCCCCCCCAAGACCCUCUCUGGGGACCCCAAGACUUCCAUGGUGGAGAGGGGGGGUCUUUUUCUGCCUGCACUGACACCAUCGUCACCGAAAGAUGGGGGCUGUUCCUGGACCAACCCCG